CAAUAGCGUGUAUUAAAGUUGUUGCAGUUAAAAAGCUCGUAGUUGGAUUUCGGGGCAGCCUGGCUGGUCCGCCGCAAGGCGAGUACUGGUCAGCCGCCCUUCCUCUCGAAAGCCCCGACUGCUCUUCGUUGCAGUGGUCGGGUAGUUCGGGACGUUUACUUUGAAAAAAUUAGAGUGUUCAAGGCAGGCCUACGCCUGAAUACAUUAGCAUGGAAUAAUGGAAGAGGACCUCGGUCCUAUUUUGUUGGUUUCCAGGGCCGAAGUAAUGAUUAAGAGGGACAGUUGGGGGCAUUCGUAUUUAAUUGUCAGAGGUGAAAUUCUCGGAUUUAUGAAAGACGAACAACUGCGAAAGCAUUUGCCAAGGAUGUUUUCAUUAA
rnacentral:rRNA from 1 species